rnacentral:misc_RNA from 1 species
UACAAAAGAGGGCCUCUCCACAGGAG